rnacentral:rRNA from 1 species
CGGGGUGAGUAACGCGUGGGUAACCUGCCUCAUACAGGGGGAUAACGAUUGGAAACGAUUGCUAAUACCGCAUAAGCGCACAGUACCACAUGGUGCAGUGUGAAAAACUCCGGUGGUAUGAGAUGGGCCCGCGUCUGAUUAGCUAGUUGGUGAGGUAACGGCCCACCAAGGCAACGAUCAGUAGCCGACCUGAGAGGGUGACCGGCCACAUUGGGACUGAGACACGGCCCAG